CAGCAAGGAGGGGGAGGAGGGAUGGCAGACAAGGUUAACAUAUAUAGUUGUAAUAUCUGAGAGACCACACAAGUUCGAUGAAUGCUUUCAAUUCCAGUUUCUCCAUGGUUUCCCAAUGCCAAAGAUUUUAUUAUGAAGCUAAGCUUCUAGACACACAUCUGUUCUGGUUGUUAUGUGUAUGAGUUGACAUUAAGCAUGAAGCUAUUUCGACUGUGUAAAUGUGUUAAUUUAUCAACAAAACCUUGGUGAAUCUACAAUCAGGGGGAGCCUUGAUGCCUUCUCAUGUAAAGCAUGCAGGAAAUAAUUGUUGACUUUCAAUAAGCUUUGAAUAUAAGG